UACGUAGGGGGGCUAGCGUUGUCCGGAAUCAUUGGGCGUAAAGAGCGUGUAGGCGGUCCGGUAAGUCCGUUGUGAAAGUCAGGGGGCUCAACCCUUGAAUGCCGGCGGAUACUGUCGGGCUAGAGUCCGGAAGAGGCGAGUGGAAUUCCCGGUGUAGCGGUGAAAUGCGCAGAUAUCGGGAGGAACACCUAUGGCGAAGGCAGCUCGCUGGGGACGGUACUGACGCUGAGACGCGAAAAGCGUGGGGAGCAAACAGG
rnacentral:rRNA from 1 species